rnacentral:misc_RNA from 1 species
CACCUGAAAUCAUUCUUAAUAAAGACAGA